rnacentral:rRNA from 1 species
UACGUAGGGGGCAAGCGUUAUCCGGAUUCACUGGGUGUAAAGGGAGCGUAGACGGCCAUGCAAGCCUGGAGUGAAAGCCCGGGGCCCAACCCCGGGACUGCUCUGGGAACUGUGCGGCUGGAGUGCGGGAGGGGCAGGCGGAAUUCCUGGUGUAGCGGUGAAAUGCGUAGAUAUAAGGAAGAACACCAGUGGCGAAGGCGGAUGACUGGACGGCAACUGACGGUGAGGCGCGAAAGCGUGGGGAGCAAACAGG